GAUGAACGCUAGCGGCAGGCCUAACACAUGCAAGUCGAACGGUAACAGAUCUAGCUUGCUAGAUGCUGACGAGUGGCGCACGGGUGCGUAACGCGUAUACAAUCUACCUCUAACUGAGGGAUAGCCCAGAGAAAUUUGGAUUAAUACCUCAUAGUAUUAUAGAAAGGCAUCUUUUUAUAAUUAAAACUCCGGUGGUUAGAGAUGAGUAUGCGUCCUAUUAGCUAGUUGGUAAGGUAAUAGCUUACCAAGGCAACGAUAGGUAGGGGGCCUGAAAGGGUGAUCCCCCACACUGGUACUGAGACACGGACCAGACUCCUACGGGAGGCAGCAGUGAGGAAUAUUGCACAAUGGAGGAAACUCUGAUGCAGCCAUGCCGCGUGCAGGAUGAAUGCCCUAUGGGUUGUAAACUGCUUUUAUACAAGAAGAAACAUCAGUACGUGUACUGACUUGACGGUAUUGUAUGAAUAAGCACCGGCUAACUCCGUG
rnacentral:rRNA from 1 species